rnacentral:lncRNA from 1 species
AUUCCUAUUUUAUCUCCUCGCAGAGUCUAUCCUUGAUAUGUUCAUCUUAACCGGUGACGGAUUUUCUCUUUGACGGUGUUCUACCUAGCAUUCGAUAGAUGUAAUUCCUGCUUUUUGUUCAGUUGGUUUAUCCUUGAUAUGUUCAUCUUAACCGAUGAAGGGUAUCCUCCUUGACAAUCCCAGGCAAGUCUAUCCUUGAUAUGUUCAUCUUAACCGAUGACGGAUUUUCUUC